rnacentral:rRNA from 1 species
UACGUAGGGACCAAGCGUUGUUCGGAUUUACUGGGCGUAAAGGGCGCGUAGGCGGCGUGGUAAGUCACUUGUGAAUUCUCUGAGCUUAACUCAGAACGGUCAAGUGAUACUGCUGUGCUAGAGUGCGGAAGGGGCAAUCGGAAUUCUUGGUGUAGCGGUGAAAUGCGUAGAUAUCAAGAGGAACACCUGAGGUGAAGACGGGUUGCUGGGCCGACACUGACGCUGAUGCGCGAAAGCCAGGGGAGCAAACGGG